GGUUAUUUUCUUUGGGCAUCUCGUUAACGUCAUGGAUUCAUCACGAUAUGAAGAAACGGUCAUGGUGUUGUUUCGAGUAAUGGUGAUGAUGACCGUCAUUGUUACCCUUUUUGGCUGUUGUCUCUGUAUCAAAUUUUUCUCGCGGAUGUGCAGUGAGGAGGAUGGAGCUAUUGUACAGUUGGAUUGGAACCCAUGUAUGAUCAAGGAAAAGAAAGUCUGCGAGUGAAGAGAUUUUAUUAGUUAAUGUCUAUGAGUUAGCAAAAUAGCUUUAUUCCUCUUGUUGAUCAAAAACA
rnacentral:lncRNA from 1 species